UAACAUAUUUUAGAAUCAAAAAAUUUGAUAUAUUAAGAUUAAGAACUGUGGUAUAUAAUGCCCCAAGCUUCUUACUUGCAGAAAAGGACUCUUACUGAAUUUCCCCUUUCAGCUGCUUAAUAGUGAGACCAAUUAAAUGCGGAAUUUUUGGAGAUUAUUCGGAACUGCCUAACAAUAUAAGUUCUUGAGAUUUGGAUUUUGUAUGGAUUCCCCAGCUCGUGGAAAAUUUGGUACAGCUAAUUUUUAAGGAGAGAGUGAGUGGAGUUCGUACAUUAAAAUGACGCCGAUAAGCACUUCGGGUAAAAAUUCAAUUAGUUUGAUCUUCUGAAAAGCUCUAAAGUUAAUUUUAGAAAAUCUCAAAAGUUUAUAUUAUAAGAACCUUAAAAAAAUAAA